UUAUGUUCUUUAAACCCAAAGAAUUUGGCGGUGUUUUAUACCUGUUAGAGGAACCUGUCCCUUAAUCGAUAAUCCACGUUUUAUCUUACUUAAUUUUGUUUUCAGUAUGUAUAUCUCCGUUAUAAGUUUAUUUUUUUAGAAUAUUUACUUAAUAAUUUAUUUAUUAUUAUUUCAGGUCAAGGUGCAGCUUAUAAUUAAGAGGAGAUGGGUUACAAUAUUUUUAAUAAACGGAUUAAUUUAUGAAAUUUUUAAUGAAGGUGGAUUUAAUAGUAAAUUUAUUUAUAUAGAUAAAUUGAUUAUGGCUCUAAAAUAAGCACACAUCGCCCGUCGCUCUA
rnacentral:rRNA from 1 species